GUGCUCGCUUCGGCAGCACAUAUACUAAAAUUGGAACGAUACAGAGAAGAUUAGCAAUUUGUAAUGAGAACCUGUAAUAUAUAUAUAUAUAUAUAUAUAUAU